AAACUACCCUUCGGAACACAAUACCCUCGGGAAACUGAGGCUAAUAGUGUAUACCAUACCACCACUGGAAUGAGUGGUAUGCCAAACGCUCCGGCGCCGAAGGAUGUGGCUGCGGCCGAUUAGGUAGACGGUGGGGUAACGGCCCACCGUGCCAAUAAUCGGUAUGGGUCAUGAGAGUGAGAACCCAGAGACGGAAUCUGAGACAAGAUUCCGGGCCCUACGGGGCGCAGCAGGCGCGAAACCUUUACACUGCACGACAGUGCGAUAGGGGGAUCCCAAGUGCACAGGCAUAGCGCCUGUGCUUUUCGGUACCCUAAGGCGGUACCAGAAUAAGGGCUGGGCAAGACCGGUGCCAGCCGCCGCGGUAAUACCGGCAGCCCAAGUGAUGGCCGAUCUUAUUGGGCCUAAAGCGUCCGUAGCUGGCCGCGCAAGUCCAUCGGGAAAUCCACCUGCUCAA
rnacentral:rRNA from 2 species